CUAAUAAUGCCCUCACUACCCCACUCCAGCUCCCCAUCUAAUAAUGCCCUCACUACUCCACUCCAGCUCCCCAGCUAAUAACGCUCUCACUACCCCACUCCAGCUCCCCCAUCUAAUAAUAGUCUCACUACCCCACUCCAGCUCCCCGUCUAAUAAUGCUCUCACUAUCCCCACUAUAAUACUCGCUCUCCCCCAGCUUAUACAUGCAUUCUGUCUCUGACCCACCCAGACCCCCAGCUUGUACAUUAAUUCUACGCCCUGUUAAUCUGCUCCCUCUGAACUAAACCCUAAAAAGAGGGAGCAAAAUGAAGGUAGCAGUAAUGAAAAAAUCUACAGAACCAAAGCAUUUCAC